GUAAUAUUUUUCUUAUAUCUUCCAGACUUAAGUGAGAGAAUGGUGGGAAAGAAGGAAGAAAAUAAAGAAGCACCCAACUAAUUCUGAAAAACACAGCCAUUUAAGAAUUCUUCCUUGGGGCGCCUGGGUGGCUCAGUCAGUUAGGCCUCUGACUUUGGCUCAGAUACUCAAGAUAUACCCCAGACUUUGCAAUCUGACUACUGGCUGAAGCCUAUGACUUGGAAGCUAGUGACGCAAAGAAGCAGGGACAUCUGGUGGAGUUGGCGGUAUCCAGGUUCAGAAUGCUGAGGCAGAUGCUGUAGCAAUAGUAUCCAUCAUUUGGCUUUGGUGAGACAGGCAGGAAACAUUACACUCUGGCCUGUAAUUUAUAGAACAUUGAGCAACAAGAGACUACCAUGACAGAACUAGAAGAAUAAUGACAUCAUUCAAAGAUCCUGGAUUUGGCAUUAUUUGCUGUAUUGAUGAAAUCUUGGGACAUCUCCCUUGGGGGAGUAAGAAAAAGUGGAAAAUAAAUCACCCGUUUCAUCCAAUUUAUUUCUUCUGAGAAGCUGAACAGAAUGCUCAUAAGU